AUUGAACGCUGGCGGCAGGCCUAAUACAUGCAAGUCGAGCGGAUGAAGGGAGCUUGCUCCUGGAUUCAGCGGCGGACGGGUGAGUAAUGCCUAGGAAUCUGCCUGGUAGUGGGGGAUAACGUCCGGAAACGGGCGCUAAUACCGCAUACGUCCUGAGGGAGAAAGUGGGGGAUCUUCGGACCUCACGCUAUCAGAUGAGCCUAGGUCGGACUAGCUAGUUGGUGGGGUAAAGGCCUACCAAGGCGACGAUCCGUAACUGGUCUGAGAGGAUGAUCAGUCACACUGGAACUGAGACACGGUCCAGACUCCUACGGGAGGCAGCAGUGGGGAAUAUUGGACAAUGGGCGAAAGCCUGAUCCAGCCAUGCCGCGUGUGUGAAGAAGGUCUUCGGAUUGUAAAGCACUUUAAGUUGGGAGGAAGGGCAGUAAGUUAAUACCUUGCUGUUUUGACGUUACCAACAGAAUAAGCACCGGCUAACUUCGUG
rnacentral:rRNA from 1 species